CACGUAGGCGGGUCUUUAAGUCGGGGGUGAAAUCCUGGAGCUCAACUCCAGAACUGCCUUCGAUACUGAGGAUCUCGAGUCCGGGAGAGGUGAGUGGAACUCCGAGUGUAGAGGUGAAACUCGUAGAUAUUCGGAAGAACACCAGUGGCGAAGGCGGCUCACUGGCCCGGUACUGACGCUGAGGUGCGAAAGCGUGGGGAGCAAACA
rnacentral:rRNA from 1 species